AACGAACGCUGGCGGCAUGCCUAACACAUGCAAGUCGAACGAAGGCUUCGGCCUUAGUGGCGCACGGGUGCGUAACGCGUGGGAAUCUGCCCUUGGGUUCGGAAUAACUCAGAGAAAUUUGAGCUAAUACCGGAUGAUGACGUAAGUCCAAAGAUUUAUCGCCCAAGGAUGAGCCCGCGUAAGAUUAGCUAGUUGGUGGGGUAAAGGCCUACCAAGGCGACGAUCUUUAGCUGGUCUGAGAGGAUGAUCAGCCACACUGGGACUGAGACACGGCCCAGACUCCUACGGGAGGCAGCAGUGGGGGAUAUUGGACAAUGGGCGAAAGCCUGAUCCAGCAAUGCCGCGUGAGUGAUGAAGGCCUUAGGGUUGUAAGACUCUUUUACCUAGGGAGUGAUAAUAGACAGUACCUGGAG
rnacentral:rRNA from 1 species